rnacentral:rRNA from 1 species
UACGGAGGGUGCAAGCGUUAUCCGGAUUCACUGGGCGUAAAGGGUGCGUAGGCGGGUCUUUAAGUCAGGGGUGAAAUCCUGGAGCUCAACUCCAGAACUGCCUUUGAUACUGAAGAUCUUGAGUCCGGGAGAGGUGAGUGGAACUGCGAGUGUAGAGGUGAAAUUCGUAGAUAUUCGCAAGAACACCAGUGGCGAAGGCGGCUCACUGGCCCGGUACUGACGCUGAGGAGCGAAAGCGUGGGGAGCAAACAGG